rnacentral:rRNA from 1 species
AUGGAUCAGGAGCUGAUUGAGCACCUUGAGGCCAAAGUGAGUGCUGAGAGUGCGAGAUCUCACCCUCUCAUUGAUUUGUUCAUACCAACCAUCGACAGCGAGCAAGGCAUAUGCUACACCCAUCCUGAGAAACUUCCAGGCAUCACACUGAGUGGCCUAAGCAAGCAUUUCUUCCAGCGCAAUUCCAGGGCGUUCAAAAGGGGCACGUGGACGCGUCGCAAGAUACAGUCGGAGUGCGGCAUGCACGCGCUGUGGCACAAGACCGGCAAUACCUUGCCAGUGAUGGUCAACGGCCGGCAGACGGGCAGCAAAAAGCUUCUGGUGCUGCACACCAACAAGAACUUCGACCAGCAGAGGACCAACUGGGUGAUGCACCUGUACCACCUCGGGGACCUGGAGCAAGAGAAGGAGCGGGAGUUGGUCCUCUGCAAGAUUUUGUACCAGACGAACACUAGGGCCAGGACUAAAAAGAUUAUAAGUUAG